UCCUUAACUGACGCUAAAGCUCGAAAGUGCGGGUAUCGAACAGGAUUAGAUACCCUGGUAGUCCGCACGGUAAACGAUGGAUGCCCGCUGUUGGCGAUACAAUGUCAGCGGCCAAGCGAAAGCGUUAAGCAUCCCACCUGGGGAGUACGCCGGCAACGGUGAAACUCAAAGGAAUUGACGGGGGCCCGCACAAGCGGAGGAACAUGUGGUUUAAUUCGAUGAUACGCGAGGAACCUUACCCGGGCUUGAACUGCAGCUGAACGAUCCAGAGAUGGUGAGGCCCUUCGGGGCAGCUGUGGAGGUGCUGCAUGGUUGUCGUCAGCUCGUGCCGUGAGGUGUCGGCUUAAGUGCCAUAACGAGCGCAACCCUUUUCUCUAGUUGCCAUCAGGUUAUGCUGGGCACUCUGGAGACACUGCCACCGUAAGGUGUGAGGAAGGUGGGGAUGACGUCAAAUCAGCACGGCCCUUACGUCCGGGGCUACACACGUGUUACAAUGGGUGGUACAGAGAGUCAGCGGCCGGCAACGUCCGCUUAAUCAUGAAAUCCAUCCUCAGUUCGGAUUGGGGUCUGCAACCCGACCCCAUGAAGCUGGAUCGCUAGU
rnacentral:rRNA from 1 species